rnacentral:rRNA from 1 species
GAUGAACGCUGGCGGCGUGCCUAAUACAUGCAAGUCGAGCGAACAGACGAGAAGCUUGCUUCUCUGAUGUUAGCGGCGGACGGGUGAGUAACACGUGGAUAACCUACCUAUAAGACUGGGAUAACUUCGGGAAACCGUAGCUAAUACCGGAUAAUAUUUUGAACCGCAUGGUUCAAUAGUGAAAGACGGUCUUGCUGUCACUUAUAGAUGGAUCCGCGCUGCAUUAGCUAGUUGGUAAGGUAACGGCUUACCAAGGCAACGAUGCAUAGCCGACCUGAGAGGGUGAUAGGCCACACUGGAACUGAGACACGGUCAAGACUCCUACGGGAGGCAGCAGUAGGGAAUCUUCCGCAAUGGGCGAAAGCCUGACGGAGCAACGCCGCGUGAGUGAUGAAGGUCUUCGGAUCGUAAAACUCUGUUAUUAGGGAAGAACAUAUGUGUAAGUAACUGUGCACAUCUUGACGGUACCUAAUCAGAAAGCCACGGCUAACUACGUG